rnacentral:rRNA from 1 species
AACGAACGCUGGCGGCGUGCCUAACACAUGCAAGUCGAACGCGAAAGUCCUUCGGGAUGAGUAAAGUGGCGCACGGGUGAGUAACACGUAGGUGACCUACCGUUUAGAGUGGAAUAACCAGAAGAAAUUUUGGCUAAUGCCGCAUACGAAGUGCAAAUUUUAAAGUAGCACUUGAAAGGAUGCCUCUGCAUAUGCAUCUACUGAACGAUGGGCCUGCGGAACAUUAGCUAGUUGGUGGGGUAAUGGCCUACCAAGGCAACGAUGUUUAUCCGGUCUGAGAGGAUGAUCGGACACACUGGAACUGAGACACGGUCCAGACUCCUACGGGAGGCAGCAGUGGGGGAAUAUUGCGCAAUGGGGGAAACCCUGACGCAGCAACGCCGCGUGAGUGAGGAAGGACUUCGGUCUGUAAAGCUCUGUUAAUGUGGAAAAAUGGCAGUUGGUCUAAUAGGCCGACUGUUUGAUGGGUUACACAUAGAGGAAGCACCGGCU